rnacentral:rRNA from 1 species
UGCAAGUCGAACGAUGAACCACUUCGGUGGGGAUUAGUGGCGAACGGGUGAGUAACACGUGGGCAAUCUGCCCUUCACUCUGGGACAAGCCCUGGAAACGGGGUCUAAUACCGGAUACCACUACCGCAGGCAUCUGUGGUGGUUGAAAGCUCCGGCGGUGAAGGAUGAGCCCGCGGCCUAUCAGCUUGUUGGUGAGGUAAUGGCUCACCAAGGCGACGACGGGUAGCCGGCCUGAGAGGGCGACCGGCCACACUGGGACUGAGACACGGCCCAGACUCCUACGGGAGGCAGCAGUGGGGAAUAUUGCACAAUGGGCGAAAGCCUGAUGCAGCGACGCCGCGUGAGGGAUGACGGCCUUCGGGUUGUAAACCUCUUUCAGCAGGGAAGAAGCGAAAGUGACGGUACCUGCAGAAGAAGCGCCGGCUAACUACGUGCCAGCAGCCGCGGUAAUACGUAGGGCGCAAGCGUUGUCCGGAAUUAUUGGGCGUAAAGAGCUCGUAGGCGGCUUGUCACGUCGGGUGUGAAAGCCCGGGGCUUAACCCCGGGGUCUGCAUUCGAUACGGGCUAGCUAGAGUGUGGUAGGGGAGAUCGGAAUUCCUGGUGUAGCGGUGAAAUGCGCAGAUAUCAGGAGGAACACCGGUGGCGAAGGCGGAUCUCUGGGCCNUUACUGACGCUGAGNANCAAAGCGUGGGGAGCGAACAGGAUUAGAUACCCUGGUAGUCCCNCCGUAAACGGUGGGAACUAGGUGUUGGCNACNUNCCCGUCGUCGGUGCCGCA